ACUCCUACGGGAGGCAGCAGUGGGGAAUAUUGCACAAUGGGGGAAACCCUGAUGCAGCCAUGCCGCGUGUGUGAAGAAGGCCUUCGGGUUGUAAAGCACUUUCAGUAGGGAGGAAGGUAGUGUAGUUAACACCUGCAUUAUUUGACGUUACCUACAGAAGAAGCGCCGGCUAACUCCGUGCCAGCAGCCGCGGUAAUACGGAGGGUGCGAGCGUUAAUCGGAAUUACUGGGCGUAAAGCGCAUGCAGGCGGCCUGUUAAGUCAGAUGUGAAAGCCCGGGGCUUAACCUCGGAAUUGCAUUUGAAACUGGCAGGCUAGAGUCUUGUAGAGGGGUAGAAUUUCAGGUGUAGCGGUGAAAUGCGUAGAGAUCUGAAGGAAUACCAGUGGCGAAGGCGGCCCCUGGACAAAGACUGACGCUCAGAUGCGAAAGCGUGGGAGCAAACAGGAUUACGAUACCCCGUGGUAGGAUAGCG
rnacentral:rRNA from 1 species